GACGAACGCUGGCGGCAGGCCUAACACAUGCAAGUCGAACGAACUCUUCGGAGUUAGUGGCGGACGGGUGAGUAACACGUGGGAACGUGCCUUUAGGUUCGGAAUAACUCAGGGAAACUUGUGCUAACACCGAAUGUGCCCUUCGGGAGAAAGAUUUAUCGCCUUUAGAGCGGCCCGCGUCUGAUUAGCUAGUUGGUGAGGUAAAGGCUCACCAAGGCUACGAUCAGUAGCUGGUCUGAGAGGAUGACCAGCCACAUUGGGACUGAGACACGGCCCAAACUCCUACGGGAGGCAGCAGUGGGGAAUCUUGCGCAAUGGGCGAAAGCCUGACGCAGCCAUGCCGCGUGGAUGAUGAAGGUCUUAGGAUUGUAAAAUCCUUUCACCGGUGAAGAUAAUGACUGUAGCCGGAGAAGAAGCCCCGGCUAACUUCGUGCCAGCAGCCGCCGUAACAC
rnacentral:rRNA from 1 species